CCCAAAAAUGACCCAAACUUGUACUUUUUCACCCCAAAACUUGCCUCAGGUUCACCCCAAUACCUCCAAAGCCCCCCAGAUUGACCCAAAACCCCAAAGUCUCACCCCAAAAUUUCCCUAAAGCCCCUCAUCUCCCCCCAAAAAACCCCAAAAUGACCCCAAAAAUGACCCAAAAUUGUGCUUUUUCACCCCAAAACUUACCUCAGGUUCACCCCGAUGCCUCCAAAGCCCCCCAGAUUGACCCAAAACCCCAAAGUCUCACCCCAAAAUCCCCCCAAAUUGAACCCCAUACCCCAAAGUCUCACCCCAGAAUCCCCCCAAAGCCCCUCAUCUCCCCCCCAAAACCCCAAAAUGACCCAAACUUGUACUUUUUCACCCCAAAACUUACCUCAGGUUCGCCAAGCUGCUGCUGCGUCUGCCGGCGCUGCGCUCCAUCGGCCUCAAAUGCUUGGAGCACCUCUUCUUCUUCAAGCUCAUUGGG
ensembl:lncRNA